GGUCCCCAUCGUCUAGAGGCCUAGGACACUACCCUUUCACGGUAGGUACCGGGGUUCGAAUCCCCGUGGGGUCGCCA
rnacentral:tRNA from 1 species